GAUGAACGCUGGCGGCGUGCCUAAUACAUGCAAGUCGAGCGAACAGACGAGGAGCUUGCUCCUUUGACGUUAGCGGCGGACGGGUGAGUAACACGUAGGUAACCUACCUAUAAGACUGGGAUAACUUCGGGAAACCGGAGCUAAUACCGGAUAAUAUUUCGAACCGCAUGGUUCGAUAGUGAAAGAUGGCUUUGCUAUCACUUAUAGAUGGACCUGCGCCGUAUUAGCUAGUUGGUAAGGUAACGGCUUACCAAGGCAACGAUACGUAGCCGACCUGAGAGGGUGAUCGGCCACACUGGAACUGAGACACGGUCCAGACUCCUACGGGAGGCAGCAGUAGGGAAUCUUCCGCAAUGGGCGAAAGCCUGACGGAGCAACGCCGCGUGAGUGAUGAAGGUCUUCGGAUCGUAAAACUCUGUUAUUAGGGAAGAACAAACGUGUAAGUAACUGUGCACGUCUUGACGGUACCUAAUCAGAAAGCCACGGCUAACUACGU
rnacentral:rRNA from 1 species